rnacentral:tRNA from 1 species
GCCUGGGUGGCUCAGUCGGUUAAGCGUCCGACUUCGGCUCAGGUCAUGAUCUCGCGGUCCGUGGGUUCGAGCCCCGCAUCAGGCU